GCAGGAUGGAUUUCAGUGUUCAGCGUCCCUGGACAUCUGCCUCUAAAACAAAUCUGCACCACAACAGAGGUGGCAUCAGUCAACACAAAGGGCUCAGAUCACAGCUGCCUUUGGGGAGAAUGACAAAAACUGUUCAGGGUUCCUGGGUAAUACGUAUCCAGUUUCUGUGCAUUCAGGGGAAGAGGAGCGUGGAGCAGAAGGAGAGUGGGCACAUGCAAGUCACUCUGAUGCCGUCAUUUAACUUUACAGCUCCGUUGUGCAAAGCUGUUUACAGAAAGGUUGGGGUGAAACUCUCCACUCCUGCUUUCAUACCAUUUGAAGUUCAGACCAGUGAGAUUUCCAUCAGUUGGGAGUUGAAGAUGCCACAAGGACAAGAACUGAGGAUGGUUUGCUCAGAGCUGAUUUUUAGACACCAUUUUCCAGGGAUCCCUGGUGACAGAGGAGCAUUUUUUUUGUGGUUGAGUUCUGAAUUAAAAAGUGUCGUACUA
ensembl:lncRNA TM4SF1-AS1 TM4SF1 antisense RNA 1